rnacentral:rRNA from 1 species
GUGGCGGACGGGUGAGUAACGCGUGAGAAUCUGCCUUCAGGUUGGGGACAACCACUGGAAACGGUGGCUAAUACCGAAUAAGCCAAACGGUGAAAGAUUUAUUGCCUGAAGAUGAGCUCGCGUCUGAUUAGCUAGUUGGUAGGGUAAUGGCCUACCAAGGCGUCGAUCAGUAACUGGUCUGAGAGGAUGAUCAGUCACACUGGGACUGAGACACGGCCCAGACUCCUACGGGAGGCAGCAGUGGGGAAUUUUCCGCAAUGGGCGAAAGCCUGACGGAGCAAUACCGCGUGAGGGAGGAAGGCUCUUGGGUCGUAAACCUCUUUUCUCAGGGAAGAACAAAAUGACGGUACCUGAGGAAUCAGCAUCGGCUAACUCCGUGCCAGCAGCCGCGGUAAUACGGAGGAUGCAAGCGUUAUCCGGAAUGAUUGGGCGUAAAGCGUCCGCAGGUGGCAGUUCAAGUCUGCUGUCAAAGACUGGGGCUCAACCCUGGAAAGGCAGUGGAAACUGAACAGCUAGAGUGCGGUGGGGGCAGAGGGAAUUCCUGGUGUAGCGGUGAAAUGCGUAGAGAUCAGGAAGAACACCGGUGGCGAAAGCGCUCUGAUAGGCCGCAACCGACACUCAUGGACGAAAGCUAGGGGAGCGAAUGGGAUUAGAUACCCCAGUAGUCCUAGCCGUAAACGAUGGAUACUAGGCGUAGCUCGUAUCGACCCGAGCUGUGCCGUAGCUAACGCGUUAAGUAUCCCGCCUGGGGAGUAUGCGCGCAAGCGUGAAACUCAAAGGAAUUGGCGGGGGCCCGCACAAACGGUGGAGUAUGUGGUUUAAUUCGAUGCAACGCGAAGAACCUUACCAGGGCUUGACAUGUCGCGAAUCCUGAUGAAAGUCAGGAGUGCCUUCGGGAGCGCGAACACAGGUGGUGCAUGGCUGUCGUCAGCUCGUGUCGUGAGGUGUUGGGUUAAUAUAUGCGGGGAGUGCAACCC